GGGGUGUGCUCAGAGCAGGGGGCCUGAAGAAUGGCUCCUCUGUUUACAACACACCCAACAGGAAUCUCGGGUCACUGUCAUGAGGGACACAAAACUUGUGGCCUCCCUAUGAACAAAUGCCCUACAUGU
rnacentral:snoRNA from 12 species